rnacentral:rRNA from 1 species
GAAUUCAACUCCUACGGGAGGCAGCAGUAGGGAAUAUUGCUCAAUGGGGGAAACCCUGAUGCAGCCAUGCCGCGUGUGUGAAGAAGGCCUUCGGGUUGUAAAGCACUUUCAGUAGGGAGGAAAGGGUAAGUCCUAAUACGGCUUAUCUGUGACGUUACCUACAGAAGAAGGACCGGCUAACUCCGUGCCAGCAGCCACGGUAAUACGGAGGGUCCGAGCGUUAAUCGGAAUUACUGGGCGUUAAGCGCACGCAGGCGGUUUGUUAAGUCAGAUGUGAAAUCCCCGGGCUCAACCUGUGAACUGCAUCUGAUACUGGCAAGCUUGAGUCUCGUAGAGGGGGGUAGAAUUCCAGGUGUAGCGGUGAAAUGCGUAGAGAUCUGGAGGAAUACCGGUGGCGAAGGCGGCCCCCUGGACGAAGACUGACGCUCAGGUGCGAAAGCGUGGGGAGCAAACAGGAUUAGAAACCCCAGUAGUCCAGGCGUU